GAAGUCGGAGGAGCUGCCGAUCAUCACCAUUUUCGUUCACUUCAGACCAACAUUUCCCAGCUGCAACCAUCUUCACCACAACACCAUUUCCAGCUGCAAAUCGAACCAGGACCAACCAGUGUGCGUGAGAGCCAAGAGGGAGCAGAAAUUUUCCAGAUUUUCUUGCGUGAGCUUAGCUUGCUGUGAGGCGCACGCAAGGACCUUUAAGAGGAUCCGACAGAGGACGCUUGAACUUCAAAUUGAACCUAUUGCCCUUGUUUGACUAGGUUCUGACAACUGAGGAAGACUUGAGAUCUACUUGUACUUUAAGCAUGUAGUUUGAAUUAAACAAUGUAGCUUUUGUUUCGGGUUGCCACUUGAAGCUGGAAAAGUGUAACCCUUGAAUUUGUAUGUGGCUUGUAUGAAAUUUGUUACUUGGCUUAUAAGGAUGUAUUUGAAUUAUAUGUUUUGU